rnacentral:rRNA from 1 species
CCUACGGGUGGCAGCAGUGAGGAAUAUUGGUCAAUGGGCGGGAGCCUGAACCAGCCAAGUCGCGUGAGGGACGACGGUCCUAUGGAUUGUAAACCUCUUUUGUCGGGGAACAAAGGCGCCCACGGGUGGGCGGAUGAGUGUACCCGAAGAAAAAGCAUCGGCUAACUCCGUGCCAGCAGCCGCGGUAAUACGGAGGAUGCGCGCGUUAUCCGGAUUUAUUGGGUUUAAAGGGUGCGUAGGCGGAUUGAUAAGUUAGAGGUGAAAUGUCCGAGCUUAACUCGGGAACUGCCUCUAAUACUGUUGAUCUAGAGAGUAGAUGCGGUAGGCGGAAUGUAUGGUGUAGCGGUGAAAUGCUUAGAGAUCAUACAGAACACCGAUUGCGAAGGCAGCUUACCAAUCUAUAUCUGACGUUGAGGCACGAAAGCGUGGGGAGCAAACAGGAUUAGAUACCCGGGUAGUC